rnacentral:rRNA from 1 species
UACGUAGGGUGCAAGCGUUAAUCGGAAUUACUGGGCGUAAAGCGUGCGCAGGCGGUGAUGUAAGUCUGUUGUGAAAUCCCCGGGCUCAACCUGGGAACUGCAUCUGUGACUGCAUUGCUGGAGUGCGGCAGAGGGGGAUGGAAUUCCGCGUGUAGCAGUGAAAUGCGUAGAUAUGCGGAGGAACACCGAUGGCGAAGGCAAUCCCCUGGGCCUGCACUGACGCUCAUGCACGAAAGCGUGGGGAGCAAACAGG